AUCCAGAUGACGAGUUAUAAAUAGGACGAAACGCGCAUCCUGGAU
rfam:Trichobilharzia regenti genome assembly, scaffold: TRE_scaffold0001577